AACGAACGCUGGCGGCAUGCCUAACACAUGCAAGUCGAACGAGACCUUCGGGUCUAGUGGCGCACGGGUGCGUAACGCGUGGGAACCUGCCCUUAGGUUCGGAAUAACUCCCCGAAAGGGGUGCUAAUACCGGAUAAUGUCUUCGGACCAAAGAUUUAUCGCCUUUGGAUGGGCCCGCGUUGGAUUAGCUAGUUGGUAGGGUAAAAGCCUACCAAGGCGACGAUCCAUAGCUGGUCUGAGAGGAUGAUCAGCCACACUGGGGCUGAGACACGGCCCAGACUCCUACGGGAGGCAGCAGUAGGGAAUAUUGGACAAUGGGCGAAAGCCUGAUCCAGCAAUGCCGCGUGAGUGAUGAAGGCCUUAGGGUUGUAAAGCUCUUUUACCCGGGAUGAUAAUGACAGUACCGGGAGAAUAAGCUCCGGCUAACUCCGUG
rnacentral:rRNA from 1 species